rnacentral:rRNA from 1 species
GAAUUCUGGUUGAUCCUACCAGUAAUAUACGCUUGUCUCAAAGGUUAAGCCAUGCAUGUCUAAGUACAAACAGUUUUAAUGUGAAACCGCAUAAGGCUCAGUAUAACAGCUAUAAUUUACAAGAUCAUUUACCUAGUUACUUGGAUAACUGUGGAAAAUCUAGAGCUAAUACAUGCAAAAUGCAGGGACCUCGCGGAACCUGUGCAAUUAUUAGUCAAACCAAUCGUCCUCCGUGACGCUUGAGUUGAAAUCUGGAUAAUUUUGUUGAUCGCAUGGUCUCGCACCGGCGACAGAUCUUUCAAAUAUCUGCCCUAUCAACUAUUGAUGGUAGUAUAGAGGACUACCAUGGUUGCAACGGGUAACGGGGAAUCAGGGUUCGAUUCCGGAGAGGGAGCCUGAGAAAUGGCUACCACAUC